CUCUGGCAAAGAGGAGGAUGUCCAGGAAAUCCAACUUCCUCUUUCUCCUGAUCCUCUCAAGAUCUUCCUCAUCCUGCAGAUGCGCCUUUCUCAGUUUGAUCACUUGGUCUGUACCAGAAUAGUGGUUCGCAGGCAAAUUUAGGGCCCUGGGUGCCCAGAAAGAGCGACCCACAGUGGCCCCAUCAGCCCCUCACCCUGGUCCAAUAUGGAUGCCAGGGAAUCAGGAUGGGUAUGGGAGAGGUGUGCACAUGAGAAGUGAGAGGUCUAGCAUCAUCUGAUUGCAAGUCAAGCCUCCCCUCUAUAGCACACCCAUGGAGUGGGCUCUGCUUGAAUGCUACUUGGAGAGGGUGACAUCACCAUGUGGUGACACAUGGGAACACCAGCACAUUCCAUUGCACCCUGACAUUUCGGUUCCCAAGCCCCGCACCAGUUAAGUAUUCAGUGGGGGGUAUGUUCUAGUUCCCAAAGGAAAGUAGAGGUCAGGGCCAGUCCCUUUGAGAUGUACAUGAUGAAGGAGCAGGAGCAGCCCAGGAGGUGGAGUCCAACCUGUGUGUUGAUGGGCAAGCUGGCAGGCCCGCUUGUUCCAGAGGCCAUCAGGUGUCAGUGAGUAGAUGAUGUCGUUCUGGUAGAAGAAAUUCCUCACUCGAGAAUAAAAAAGAUUUUUCACAACCUCAAUGGCCUGGAUGUAGGAUUGGGAUUGGGAUUUUCUGCAGGCAGAAGAUACAGAACAGAUUAAGGUAUUGGGGGAGCUCUGACCUGGAGGUGAAGCGGAGCUCUAGGUGGGAGUUUCCCCAAAGAGUGGGUACAGGUGCCUCUGAGGCAUUCAUUGCCCCUGUCUUAUAGCCUUUGAGACCCUCCAUCCUUCAUAAGUGUCAAGAGCAACCAGACUUCUCCCUUGCUAGGGAUCAGGGAUCUGUAGCUGAUUCAAUUUUGGUCUGGUCUGGAAUUGUCUGUGGUCAGGAGCCCUGGACAGACUCUGGCUUUUUGUGCUCAUGAGCAUCCAAGCUGCCUGAACUGCCUCUCCAGUAAGUUCAUAUCAGUUGGUAAACCAAAAGCCCUGCAGCUGAAUGAUUAUCACUGACCUGUCCAUCUGGAUGCUGCUCUGCUGACUGAAGGCACACUUCAUGAUGGUGUCCAGGGUCAUCAAAGAGAUGUGUUCAAAGAUCUCCAGACUUAGAGUUAUUGGUUGAACUGUAUCCCUUUCAAGUUCAUAUGUUGAAGACUUAAUCCCAAGUAUCUGAGAAUAGGGGAAGUUUGGACACAGAAAUAGUCACUUGGAGAGGGAAGAUGAUGUGAAGAGCCAUAUGGAGAAGAUCGUGGUUUGCUAGUCAAGGAGAGAGGCCUGGAGCAGAUGGUUCCUUCAUAGCCUUCAGAAGCAGCCAACCUUACCAACAUCUUGAUUUGAAUUGUGAGACACUCAAUUUCUGUUGUUUCAGCCACCCAUUAUUUUAAGCAGCCCUAACAAAGUAAGACAAUUGUGUAAUGUUCAAGGCACAGCUAUGAGUGGGGAUGGAUUGGUACUUUAUCCUGUUUCCCUGAAGAAUGAGGAAACUGUUAAAGCAUAUGCCCAGGUGGCUGAGGACCCCAGGGUGUUUCUCAGAGCCCAAGAGCCGGGAGCAGCAGGGUGCAGAAGGAGUAAAUCCAGGGACUGGAGAGCUGCCAGGGCUGAGUCUAAUACUUUCUCUCUGCAUUCAUUCUCUUACCAAAUGUUUAUUGGGGCUCUACCUGACAAUUUUCUAGAAGCUGGAAAUAUGCUCACAAAUAAACAGACAACAGUCCCUGUCCUCGUGGAGCUAGGUCCACAAGGUGAAGAGCACUUGAACCCUUCCUGGAUGGUUGUCAUUCUACCACAUGUCCUAUCUGUGUGACAUUGUGAAUUCUAUUCGAGAAUCUGAUUGUAAUAUAGCCAAGGUGUUCACCUGCUACUAGCUACUGUGGCUGGGGUUGAAUAGGGCAUUCAGAGGCUUAAUCAUCAUCAGGAUCCCCAACUUACAGAUGAGGAAAUUGGGUUGUAGAGCAGGCAUUUAAAGUAUGUGCAGAGGUGGGAUAUGAACCGAGGUAGCUCGGAAACAGAGCCCCACAUGCUCAACUGCCCACCUUGUCCCUUGUCAUCUGGCCUGAAAGAUUAGUUUCAAUCUGAAUUCAACAUGUGGCAGUCAAUUCCAGACUUAGCCAGUUACAGAUGUAUUGAAUAAAUGAAUAACUCAGGCAGUAUUAUAAAAUCAAGGAUUAGCCCGAACCAGUUUGGCUCAGUGUAUAGAGUGUCGGUCUGCAGACUGAAAGGUCCCAGGUUCGAUUCCAGUCAAGGGCAUGUACCUUGGUUGCAGGCACAUCCCCAGUGGGAGGUGAGCAGGAGGCAGCUGAUUGAUGUUUCUCUCUCAUUGAUGUUUCUAACUCUCUAUCCCACUCCCUUCCUCUCUGUAAAAAAUUCAAUAAAAUAUAUUUUUAAAUAAAAUAAA